UACGUAGGGUGCAAGCGUUGUCCGGAAUUAUUGGGCGUAAAGAGCUUGUAGGCGGUUUGUCGCGUCUGCUGUGAAAUUUCGGGGCUCAACCCCGAACUUGCAGUGGGUACGGGCAGACUAGAGUGUGGUAGGGGAGACUGGAAUUCCUGGUGUAGCGGUGAAAUGCGCAGAUAUCAGGAAGAACACCCGUGGCGAAGGCGGCUCUCUGGUACGUGACUGACGCUGAGGAGCGAAAGCGUGGGGAGCGAACAGG
rnacentral:rRNA from 1 species